UGCUUGGGUAGCUCAGUUGGUAGAGCACUUGCCCGUGAAAGGCAAAGGUCCCGAGUUCGAGUCUCGGUCCGGCAG
rnacentral:tRNA from 1 species